AUCUAUCCAAGUCUCGGUCGAGAAGGAUUUUCGAAUCCUUAUUGGCAGAGGUCAUCUCAUUAGCCUUCUCAGCCAAGUGAGGUGUUACAAGUUACUACAUUCAGGCACAUUGAAAGCCGAAUUUGAUAUUGAACUUCGCAAAACUAGCAACCUUGUCUUCAUGCUCUAGAAUCCGAAGGUCGAGACAUGUUCGUUCCUCGGCCUCAGUCGCAAGAUCAAGAAGUCAGCAGCGCGCUCAACGUAACAUCAACUCAUUUUAAUCCUCGGUCGAGCUCGGCCGACGAGUUGGCACACCCCGCAUCAACUGAAAGACGUAGUUAGCUCAUUAGUUACUCGGCUGGCGCGUCACGUAAGCUUGGUAGUUUUUAGGAUCAACACAUUGACACAUUAAUUGGGAUCUAAAUUUUGGAAUUGGACUACAUUGUAGACCAUCACAAUGUUACUAUUAACAUGUUAGUUACUUAUUCCAAUCAUUCAUUUUUCUUUUUUUGUUAAUAAAUUUAUUAAAAGUCUGUUAAACUUAUCUCUUACUAUUUAAUACCUAGUUAAGUUUCAAGUAAUGAUAAACACAUACCAUGACGAAAGUAAAUAAAUAAAAUGUGAAAAUCAUAACUUGCAUGAGAAAGUUAUUCAAAACGAGUGAAAAUAAAAAGAAAAUGUGAAAAGUUAAAAAAACGUUUGAAAAUUAGCUUUCCUAAACUUACAUGAGAACGUUAUUCAAGACGACAGAAAAUAAAAGUUAAAAGUUAAAAAGACAUGUGAAAAUCAACUUCCCUAAACUUAUAUGGGAAAGUUAUUCAAGACAUGCCUUUUUAGCCAAAAAUAGUUCAUGAGAGUUCACAAAAAAAAAAAUAGUUCAUGAGAUUAACAUAACUCCUUACAAAUGAUAUUCAAAAGAAACUGCUAAAUGGCUACCUAAAAAUGAUAUGAUUGUUAUGGAUGGGCCGAUACUGAAUAAACAAGUAUCCCCUAAGAUUUAAAAUAGAUACAAGUAGUCUCUGAGAUUAUCCAUCAUCAAUCAUUUUAAUCAAUUUGUGAAAAAAAUCUUCAUUUAAAUUGAAGAAACCACGACUUUAAGAGAAUGGUUGAUUUGAGAAAAAUACCCUCAAUUUAACGAAAAAUUUUCACAGAAUAACCUAAAUUAUUAACGGUAGACAAUCUCAUAGACCAUUCCUAUUAAUUUUAAAUCUCAGAAACUAAAAUAAAGAAUUAUAUCGAUCUCAUAAACCAAUUAAGAUAAAAAGCCCUCAAGACAUUAUCCGAUAAAAAAAUGCUGUUCGUGGCAUGCAUGAAAGUUAAUGAGCCGCUGAAACGUCCUUGUUUAACAAAAGCUGAUACUUGAGGAUAUGGCCAAGUUUGAAAAGUGAAGGAAAUUCCAGCACAAUCCAGGUGGGAAGCCAAAACUAAACAUAAACAAAUAAACACAUAAUCUCUAAUUAACAGCUGCCUAAUUCAUGGAUCAACUCAAAACCUCAGGAAUAUUUUAUUAUAGCAUUUAAUCUUUUUUAUAGGAUAGGACAGAGUCCUAUGUGUGGUUGACUUUUCUAAACUAGUCAACACCAUGAUCUUCUUCCAAACCCGGGUCAAUCCUCCAUACGUGUGCGUUCCCACAGGGGAUGAGAAGCCCAGGUUUGACCGUUGACCUACUCCUGUCGCACUCCUAGUAUUACAGCAUAUCCCUUCUCCAAUCAAUCGACGCAACGAGAGAUUUUUCAAUGUAAUCGGUACACGGAAUAAUACAUCACGUAUCAUUAUAUAAAUAGUAGGAUAUGUGUGCUAAAAAGUUAAUAACUUAAAAAGUAAAAUUUCUCACCACUCCUAUUAAAACACAUGAUGUACCACUUGUGUUCCUGUCACAACUAAAUUUUUUCUACAACACAUCACAUCAGCUUUAAUACGUUGUUGACGUGGCAUGCAAACAGAAUUAUAGAUAGAUUUGGAACUUAAACACGUGCGGUUUUAAGCCAUUAUCCUAUGGGUGAGAAAUGGGAACGCACCCUCCUGUUCUAUAAUUUUGUUUGCCUUUUCCGACUUUUUAUUUCCCGUGUGACCAACAGAAUAAUUAAAAAAUUCUCAAGUUCGAUCAAAUGUAGUGUGUGUAUAUAUUU
rnacentral:lncRNA from 1 species